GUGGGUGGGUGUUGUUCAGCACCAUUGACAGGUGUGUUUACCUGUGUGUGAAUGGUGCUCAGCACCAGGGAUAGGUGUAUUUACCU
rnacentral:pre_miRNA from 1 species